rnacentral:rRNA from 1 species
GUGGAUUAGAUACCCCGGUAGUCCUAGCCGUAAACGUUGGGUGCUAGGUGUGGGUGGACAUCAACCCCAUCCGUGCCGAAGCUAACGCAUUAAGCACCCCGCCUGGGGAGUACGGCCGCAAGGCUAAAACUCAAAGGAAUUGACGGGGGCCCGCACAAGCGGCGGAGCAUGUGGCUUAAUUCGAUGCGACGCGAAGAACCUUACCUGGGCUUGACAUGCGGGGUGAAACCGUGGAAACACGGCGCUCUUCGGAGCCCGCACAGGUGGUGCACGGCCGUCGCCAACU